GCCUAUAGCGAUGCCACCCUGAACAUGUCCAAUCUCAUCUGAUCUCUGAAGCUAAGCAGGGUCAGGCCUGGUUAGUACAUGGAUGGAAGACCACCCAAAAGACCAGGUGCUACAGGCA
rnacentral:rRNA from 1 species